CAGUUUUUAAUGGUAUAUUUUAUUGGCACAAAACGUUAAAAUAGCAAUAUUUAUUAAAAUAUUCUCCUUCUUUAAUGCUAUAAAUAUUAAAGGAAUUCUUUCAUGAGUAAGCUCUGAAAAUACAGUGAUAACGACUCCAGAUUAUGGGUGAGAUUCUUGCCUCAUCAGGUGAAAGUGUCACAGAUUGUGCCCAGGGGACAGCCAUAUUUUAGAGAUUUUCAUUAAAAAAAUAAUUAAGUUUUGUGGGUGGAAUUACUAACUCAAUUCAGUCACUACUGACAAACCCUUGUAUUGUCAUUAUUGCAAUGCAAAGGCUAGCAGCUCACCGGUACCAUGUUGAUGAGCUGUAAUACAAUGGGACACUAACCUUAGUUGGGGAAAAGUAUGGUGACUUUAUCCAUCAUGAUCAACAUUUAAAAAGAAGUAGAAUUUAGAACUUAAACCUUCUCCUUUGUCCAUUGUUGGAUUACAUUCUGUUCUGUAGGUAUAGAAUAGGAUGUUUUCUUCCUACUUUCACUUGCUAAUACUCUUGUCAAAAAUUACAGAUCAAUCCUGACAGUGAAAGAACCAACAUCUAAGCACAUUUUCAGCUCCCCUUCCUGGUCUCGUUGCUAGAGAACACAGGGUAAUGAAGGACAUGAGGGUUUUAUCUUGUAUUUUACUCCGAGUGCCCAUGAAAACACCACCUGGGUUUUAUAGAAAACUGCUCCAAUCCACUAUGAAAAGAGAAACAUAGCAGUGCCCCAAUACCUUCCAUGAAUACAUGAAAGAGAAUGUUUGAGGAAUCACAUUCAAUCAUGUAUCACAUUACAUAAAUACUCAUUAUUUUAUUAAUUAUUCCAUUAACUUAAUAUAAGAAUAAGAAAUUUCUUACAUUUUCAGGAUGCCUUCAUUCUGUUUUUUCAGCUUUUUUUUUUUCCUGCUGAAACUAUAUGAUCCCUGAAGCAACCCAUGUGGUUGGCAGGACUUCAUUUAUUUAUUUACUCGGUGAACAAAGUUGAGCAAAUUGAUGGUACUCAAUAAAUAGUUGUUGAAUAACCAAAUGGAAGAAGGAAACGUCCAAAUGUGUAUUCAGGAAGCAGGUGUAGACUUCAUAAAGGAACCUCAGAAUUAUAGGUAAUCAUAUAGAAAAGGAAAAUUGGAUUAUAGAGUAGCAGUAGAAACCUAGAGAACUCAAUUAACCUGAGAUUUUAAAGGGUUAAGUCAAACAGGUGUUAGUUGUUUUUAUGUGUGUGUGUGGGGGGUGUAAAAUUCUGUAGAACAAGAACAAAAACCAAAUACAAGACGAACAAGAAGAGUUCUGCUGACUUUUGACAUGAUAGACCACCAGGAAAGUGAAGAAAGUUAGAGAAACUGGGUCUUAAGUUUUAUGUCUUAUGCUUAUUUUUAAAGUGUAAUGCCUGGACCAGCAGCAUGAACAUCACCUGGGAAAGGACAGGAACCCAUCAUUUUUGAGGCAACUCACCCUAGACCUACUGAAUCAGAAACUCUGAGGCAAGGCCCAGAAACCUGUGUUUUAGCCAGUAUUCCAGGUGAUUCUGCUGCAGGUCAAAGUUAAGAACCAAUGCCCUAAAUUGUUGAAAUAACUAAAAUGUGAAGCUUGACUGGAAAAGGAGUUGGGAUUCCCACCAGAAUAAAGAGGACUAUUGGACCAGAUGUCCAGAUAUUUCAAUGGUUGCACCAAAUGAUAAUCUGAUGCUUAUAAUUAAUUACUUUCUAGCACACUGAGAUGUGACUCAAGCUCUUCAUACAGCUGGCUAGCCUGGUAGACAAACCCUUUCCAUUCACAACUUCAAUGUGAGGCUAAAAACAUUCAUGCACAAUUUUUCCUUUUUAUUGCACAUCUGCCUGAUGGCAUGGACCAAAAUGGAAUUAAUAUUCAAAUAAUUAUGUGUGGGCAUAUUCUGCUUUGUUAAAAGAUUGAGGAUGUAUUGCAAAAUACAUGUUAUAUGAAAGUCAUGUUAGAGAGAAGCAAUAGUAUAAAAAUGAAAACCAUUUUCCAUCAUAGCCUCAAAUUAAAAAAAAACCUACCUUUUCCUCACUUUCCCAUUGUGCCUGGAAUUUCACUUUUAGAGAUCUGUUCAUAGGCUCAAGCCAUUUUGUAGCUGAGAGUCAUAUUAAAAUGAGAAGGAUUCUGGAAGUAAUAUCUUCCAUUUAUUCCCAAUCAUUCAUCCCCCUAGCACGAGUUAGUUUAUUUUAUCUUGAGAUGUAUAACUACUGACCUGGAAGAAUAGACCAAAGAAUAGGUCUACGAUGUUUUACUUCAUGUGUACUCUUGGUAACCAUAUGACUCACUGGGGUUUUCAUCCCUGACAUAAAGUAGAAAUCACCUUAUUAAAAAGCAAGAGUAUGUGAACUUGAACCAUCCAAAUUCACAUCACAGAGCUGACUUAUACUCACUACAAAGAACUGAAAUGAAGAAUUAACCUGAAUGGAAGGAAAUGAAGAAUUAGUUAUAAACUGAGGUUGGACUUUGACAUGGGGUUGGGGAGAAGGUAAUAAUAGAUUCAUUGCAUCAAUUUAUUAGAUAUAAUAAGAUGUGGGCUAGCGUAAACACACAAAUCGGAAGCUAUAGAAAAUUCUCCUUUGCGGUUGGCACUGGGGUCAGGAUGAGGUUAUUGACAGAAAGGUGUGGAACAAUAGUAAGUUCACACUUGAUUCAGAGGUGAUCCUUCAAAUAGGAUGUGUGCUGGCCUUUGUGCCUUUGCAGUUGCCUGGCCUCACAGAGCUUCAGCCAGGGUCUUUUAGACCCAUUAAUAGCAUAAUAAAAUUAGUGAUAUUUGAUUAAGCAGUUUUAACAAUUUAAUACCAAACAUCCUAUAGGAUUAGCUAUAGGCUAUAGUAAUUGAAUGUCCAAGUAAGGAGUGUGCAUAGAAUGUCAUGCCCUUACAUUAGUUUAGGUCUGUAGUUUAAGUCCUUUUCAGGGUGUGCCAUGAACAAAAAAAAUAUGUACCUCUUAUACAUACUACUUUCCUUUUAAAACAAAGUAAAAAAUAAUAAAAGGAGAAUGUUUCAAAUUUAUAUAAUUAACUCUUCCACUAUAAACACAUUAGAAAUUGUGCCAUCCAUUCUUAAUUAAAUAGCAUUUCACUGUUGAUUUUUUAAUAUUAUUUUUUAAAGAGCUCAUUUUAGAGACUAUUUUUCCAUUAUUUUUGCUUUCUUAUGUUGGAAGAACAAAGCAAGAUGAUUUAAUUGGUCUAAGAUUGGCCAGAUAUUCUUAAAAGUAUGAACGAGCUAGUGAACUUUCAUUAUAUUCUUAUAAAAGUACUAAUCAAAAUAUACACUUCUGAUCUGACAUUCACAAGUCAUAAUGUAAUAAGAAGAAUCUAGCUUCAUGCUCGUUGUGUUCUAAGAGUGUAAAUCACUUUAUGCAAAUUUCCAUUUUUAUGAAGUAGAAAUUCUGAAUAUUUUUAGCCUUGAAAUAGCUUUAAAAUGCAAUAAUCUUUUGGCACCAGAGCUUAACAAGGACAAAUAUCGUGCAGUGAAACAAAAGGUCACCUGAUUGAGAGUAUUUAAAUAUAUUCUUCAUCCUUAUGCAAAACUAGAUAGUAUAUUUUUUGUUCUAUUUUCCACAAAGUGAAAUUUAUGAAGCCCUGUUAAUUUUUUUAUUGUAUUCUACUUUUCCUGCUAAAUAUCAUUGCAACAUUCCAUAGGGCUGCUAAUUUUUUAUUAGUAAAUUAUAUCACCAGAAGUUCUUUAUGGGAAGUUAUACUUCAAUUAGGAUUAAUACCAAACCAUAAGUAUCAAACUAAAAUACAUAAAAGCUCUCCUUGGUGCAGGAGGUUAAACUUGUAUGUGUUUUUCUUAUGGAGACAAUUUUGCUAUUGUGAUAUUUACAAAAGAACAAAUAUAGUUUAUUGGCAUCAUUAUUUAAAAUGCUAAAACAAGGGUGAAAAAACAGGUGUCUUUUAGUACUUUUCUGCUAAUAAAUUAAGUCAUUUGGUCUGUGAAUUUCAGCCUAAUGGCUUAUAAAGUAAAGAAACACUAUUAUGGGACUUUUUCUUCUUCCAGUGUGACAUACACACAAAAAUAACCCCCAAAAACCUGAAAACCAAUUUAAGACUUAAUUUACAUAAAGUAAAUCAACUUGAGAGAUUUGGUAGCAAUUAAUAAUAUUGCAUGAUUCGUUUAUAAUGAUCAUGAUUAUGAAUCAUGUUAUCACUGGAAUUCAAGGUGCAUGUGGAAAUGCCAAGUAUUAGAGGCUUGUAAAGGAAAACAUGUGUUUUCUGCAUUGUUAAAAGCUUGUUUGUUUUACUUAAUAUGAGGCUAGUGUUUAUUAUAAUAUUAAUAUCCAAUCACUUUCUAUGGGGAUUAAGUGAGAAAGUUCUAUUUUGUGAUGCCAGAUGUAGUUACUGUCACUCUCAGAAGUCGAUUUUACAACUUUGCAAUUAGUGUCCAAAACGAACAAUUACUAGCUGCUUUGCUUCUCUAGCAAGAAUCAAGAGACCAAGAAAGUAAAAUUGACCUGAACUUGCAGAAGAGUUCAAAUGCUAAGUCCUGAAAUUAAUUAGAAGAUGUAUGACCAGGCUUGAUCUUGAUUCUAAUCCAAUUCUAAUUAAACGUACACCAUGAACCAAGAAUUCGCACACUGGGAAGGCUUAUUUUUUUAUUUAUUUAAUAUUUUUUAGUUACUCUAUUUCAUGUACAGGCUGAAAAUAAGUUCUAAUUAGCUGAGCAUUCUCUGUGGUCAGGAGCACUGAAUAAAAGUUGAGCCUGUAAAUGGACAGAAAGCAGAAAACAUGCAGUGAAUGAUUCAGGAGGUAGUAGAAUCAGAGAGAAAUUCCUCUUGUAGUCACUGUUUUAUUCUCAACAGUCUUAAUGGCUUAGUAACCUGUACAUAUUAAUAUGCUAUCUUUUAGGUUAUCACAAGGGAAGAAAGAUAAAACCAAAAGUAAACAUGGAUUAUAUACAUCAUUGGUGUAUAAAGCCCUACAUCAAAUACUGUGAAUAUGUCAUCCUCUAAACUCUCCUGUGUGUCUUCCAGGGUAGGGGGAACUAGACCCUUCUGAGCAUGUUUUGGGUCUCGCCCAUCUCUGUGCUUUCCCAUCAUCCUUUUGGGUUCCUGUGAAAUGUUCCCUAAUUUCUGACACAUUUCCUGAACUGUUUAUGACCAGUCCUGUCCCGUGAACCACCAUAGCACUUUGAUUGUACCUAUCUUAUUCCCCGAUGGUAUUCCAAGCACUUUUGCAUGUUAGAUGGGUCUAUAUCAGUGAACAAAACAAAAUAAAUAUUUUCUCUCUUGGAGAUUACAUUCUAAUAUGGUGAGACAAUAAAUAUAAUAAAUAAGAAAUUAUAUCAUAUUUUAGAAAGAGAUAAUGGCAAUAGAAAAAAUAUAGAAGGGGGAAAGCAAGUGGGGAAAAUUUUGAGAGUGGGGGAAAUUGCAAUUUUAAAUCCAGUGGUUGAGGAAUGCCUCACUGAAAAGGUGACAAUUGAGCAAGACUUUGAAGUGCUUGCUUAAGAUUUAAAGAAGCACAUUCCAGAUGGCGUGGCCAGGGAAGAUGUCCUAAGGUGGGAGUUUGGCUGGGGCAGACUUAUACAUGAGAGGAGUUGAUUUAAGUCAUAGACUCACCCUGGGUCAGAUGUCAUAACGCUUUGUUGGCAAAUGUAAGGACCCUGUUUUGACUCUAGUAGGUUGGAAGCCAUUGGAGAGUUUUGAGCAGAGGGGCACCAAAAUCUGAAUUAGGUUUCUAAAGCACCACCAUCAUUCUGGAUGCUGGAUUGAGAAUAGGCUCUAGUGGGCAAGGGUAAAAGUGAGAAUUAGUAAAAGUCUACUAUAAGAAGCAGGCAAUGACAAUAGUGACUUGGACUGAGUAAUAGCAUUGGAGGUGAUAAGAAGUGGUCAUUUUUUAAACAAAAAUUAAAGAUAAGGUCCGUACAAUUUUCUGGGAUUGGAUGUAUGGUGUGAAAGAAAGAGGAGAGUCAAAGAAUACCCCAAGGUCAUCUUAUAUCAUAAUUAGCAAACUUGCCAUAUUCAUUUCCCCACUAAACUGUUGAAUGAACAUAUCCCCCCACACAGCAUACACUUGCAUUCCUCCUCAAUAAUUUAGACUGAUGGUCUACACAAUAUGGUUAAUUUCUCUGUGGAUUGUGAAAAUUAAAAAGGAAAGCAGGGUUAGCACCAGUUAAAAGAUUUGAAAGGGCUAAAAUCUUUUAUUCUAAUUUUGAAUUAGAUGUAAUUUUGCUUCAGGCUAGCUGAAAGAGUUCUGUAAGUGACAAUUUAAACUUAAAUUAAUCUCACUUUAAAGUCUUUUUAAUAAAGCUUUUCUAUGAAACAGUGAAAAGCUAGCAGUAUGAGGGCUAUAACAUUCCCAGGAAUACGUAAUCUAAAACUAUAACUUAAUUUGAAUUUUACUGUGCCUUUUAAUUAAAUUCCAGAUUUUACAGACAAUUAAUAUACACGUAUAAGACAUAUCUAUCCAGAAAGCAGUGUGAAGGGGAGAAUUUAGGCAUUUAUCUUGAUAGUGAAAUCUCCAAAUCUGGAUUCCAAGGAAAAAGAUUGAGUCAGGAUUGGAAUUUCAUUAGAUAUAAAUACUAAGUCAGCAAUUAUUCCAUUCUAUAAUUGACUUUAUAUGGACAAGGGCAUAUUUUUGAGAAGGACAAGAGUGUAAUUCAUGCAGAUUUCCCCACUUUAGAAAAGUAUUUUGUAUCAGGAUGGUGCAUUUUUUCCAAACUAAAAUUAGAUGAAAAUUAGCCCAAAACAGAAAGCUAUGAUAAAUGAGGCUUGGAUUUUAUUCUUGGAGAAGCAAUCUAAAAAUAAAUAAUAUAAGAAAAGUAAAAUUUGUAAAUGCGAAGAACCACAGAAAAAUCUUACUACAAUCAAUUAUUUUUUACUGUUUUGAAUAACUUUAUAUUCUAUAAAGGGAGUUAUUACAAAUAGAUUGACUGCAAUUCACACUUCUAUCAUAUGUUAUAAAGUUUAGAGUUGGAGUGUCUGUUUCCUAAUAUGGUUGACUUUUGGUUAUUCAUUUCUACCUGAAGGGAGAUAUUUAUUUAGAAAAUGGCAUGGCCAUUCCAGGAAAAGGAGACAGCAUGAUUUAAAUAUCAACUGCAACUUAAGAAGAAUGAUGACAAUAAUGUUAUUAUAGGCACAUUUAAUCAGAGAAAGUGACAAACAAUUUGUUGUAAAACACGUAAAUACUAGUUGAUAACUCAUUCUGGCCACAUAAAGGACAUUAACUUUUUCACACCAACACAGAGAAAAUCUUACGUAUAGCACAUACUUAUGCAUACUACAAAUGAUAAACCAUUGAAAUGCAUGAUCCUGCUAUCAUGUGUUCAUGCUUUGAAGGUAAAAUAGGAUAAUUACGAAAAUACUAGAAUAGGCAAAGAACAUGUAAGUAAAUAGAUGAGGACAAAUGGAAAAAUUGUUGCUUUACAACCAUCAAUUUACAAAUAUUUUUCUAUAAUUCAACACAAUAUUUACUGAACACCUACCGUGUGCCAGGCUGCUGCAAAAUGUGGGAGCUUGAAAGAUUGACCGAUAACAAACAUAGCUAGGAUGUAGCACAUUUUCAGAUAAACCUAGAAUGCAACAUAUAUUACUGAGAGAGAGUUGUUUAUUAUUUAACAUACCUUUAAUUAUAAUUAUAAUUAUAUAUUUAUUACAUAAACAUAUUCAUAACAAAAGGUUUAUUUUACACUUUAAGACAUUCCUGUUCCAAAUAUCUUCUAGAAUACUAAGUAAAGGGAAAAUACUUUGUAGAAGGACAAGGACAUAUACAAAAUUAUGGCAUCAAUUUCAUCAAUUUCCUGCCUCAGAGGAUUAAGUGUCAAUCUUUCUAAGGCUGAUAUUUCUAUUUUUUGUUUUUAUAGCUCUCCUUUUUACCUCUUUAAGUAUCUAUGAACUAGUUCUCCUAUUCUGAAUAUUCAAUAAUUUUUCUCUACUUUUUCUUUUCAUUUCAUAAUCCUUUAGUAUAUAACAAAGCCAUCUCAUCUAGAUAUUGUCUUCUUGCUUUCCAUUCACACCCACACUAAUUCUUUCUUGAAGGUAAUAUUUUUCUUGAGUCCACAUAAACUUUGGAAUUCUGUUGACCAGUAAUAUUUAUAAAAGAAAAUUUAGGGUCAAUUUAUGGUCACAAAUUUUUUGUUUUACCACAAGAAAAAAAAUUAAACGUAAUUCCCUAUUACUCCCAUUACUAUAAUUUUAUUUAGAAAGGAUUUAAAUCUCCCAGAGAAGGAAAUAAACAUUCAUAAGUAUCUUUUGCCUUUUUGUUUCUAUUUGUUUUAAUUACCUUCAGCUUUGUAUUUCCAGAUUUCCCCAUGGGUCCAUAGAAAUGUCUUCCUCAGAUUAAUGAAGGAUCUGAGAUAGGUUUGGUCACUGCCUGGUCUACUUCUUGCUCCUUCCUCACCACCUGUCUUCUCUGCAAUUUCUACUUUCUGCCCUUCCCUGUCUGCUGCACUUACAGUGGUAACCAUGACCAGAGAGUAGCCAAGUCCAGUGACUCUGACGGUUAUCAUUGCACUGUACGCGCUUUCAAUUUUUGACAGCCAACCACCCACUUCUUUCACGGAUUUUUGUGACACUGCUCUAACCUGUUUUUACUACUUUGUGACAGCUCCUUUUUUUGUGUCCUCUUCUUUCUUUUCACAUAAAAUUGGGCAUUUACAGUUUCUGACAACAGUUUCUAGUUUGACAUACUUCUUGCCUCAGUGUGGUAUUCAUUCUUAAAGUUUUCACUAUUAUUCUUGUGAAAUUGACUCUACAACAUAUAUUUUUAAUCAUGAUCUCUCCUCUCACGAUUCAUGAUUCAGCAGUUCAUUUUUAAAAACAUGAUACUAAAUGAAUGUUAAUUAGAAUUCCAGACUAAAGCCAUCAAAACUGCAAACAUAUUCCAUCAUCAUUUCUCUCCCUUUGCUACCCACAAUACAAUCCAGAUCCUCCUACUCGUGUUUUUAAAAAAUUUCAAUUAAUAUUACUGUAAUAACACAUUUACAUUAAAAACAAUAAUUUCUGAGGUGGUUCCUUCCUGUGAGCAAGUCACCAAGUCUUAUUUAUUAUCUGUCUUCAAAAUUUCUUACAAUUCUCUCUUCUUUUCCUUAACUUACUAGCUAUAUGUGGUUAUAUUGAGCAAGUGACUUAUUUUUUUUCUGUAAAAUGAAUAUAUCUCAGGUCUAAUAAAGAUUCUGUGAAUAUUUUAUCCUUCCAUCCAUGUUAAAUGCCUGCAUAGUUCUUGUUGAUCUAUUUAUUUCUCACUCUAUCCUGAUUCUAAGCUGGGUUCUUACAAAAUUCAAUUAUUUCCCACCUGUCAUCAGUAAAGUGACAUCCUGUUCUAGAUUAGAUGCCAUCCUUCAUAAUUAUUCUCCUAUGACGAUCUACUUCUCAAUCCUUUCUUUGCUUAUAAAUUGUUAAUGGAUCAGCAUUGCUACUUUUAAGACCCUCCACAUUACACCUAUCCCAGCUCUCUUUCCCCCUUUCCAAUAUUAUUCCAGUCUUAUUGAGGGAAAAAAAAAAGUAAUAAUGAUUAUGAACUCUAUUUUUACCCAAAUAAGUUAAAUGAACUAAACAAGUUAUUUUGGUACCUAAAUCCUUAGUAUUCUUAUUCUCAGCACAAGCACAAUGAUUGGCACACAAAAGGUGGCUAAUAAAGAGAUACAUACAUUCACUCUGUUUCCUUCCAUUUCAGUCUGGUCAGGUUUUGCAACCUCUGUGCCUUUUCUAAUCCUUCCCUCUCUACAAACAUGCUAACCACAUUACAGAUACCAUAUUAUGUACUUCUCCCCAAACUUAGCUCCAUUUUACAGCCUAGAGAAGUUAAAGACCUGUCAGAUUAAGAACCAUGUUGAAUCUUCCACGAAAACUAUUGGAUCUAGUAUUGUAGAAACGCUACUGCUUUUACCUGUCCCUGUAAAACCUGAAAAUUCUAUUUUGGCCAUUUAAUUUCUCAGUGGAUUUUAAGUCCCGUGAACCACACAGUAGAAGUAAAUAAAUAAUAAUCUUGGUAAUAUGAGCAGUGUGUUGAAAUGCUAAAACCACCAGGUAACCAGACUUUACUAAAUUUUGUCACUAAUUUGCUGUGUGGUUGUGGGACAAGCCACUUGGUGUCUUGGGGCAUCAGUUUUCUUUUCUGUUAAAUGAUAGUGCUGAAACAGGUAAAUUUUUUAAAUUCUCCCUAAGCUCUAAAUAGUGUGAAUGUCAUUAUCAUAGUGUGCAUGGAAUAGAUUGCAAUUCAAUUUCUUAGUAAAAACCAAAAGAAUACAUAUCUGACCUAUCAGAUCGUAAUUUGGCCCUGAGUGAAGAAUCAGGUGCUAAGAAUAUAUUUUAUGAGAUGAAGAAUAUAAUCUUCUUGACAAAAUGAAAAUCCAAAGUGAAAAUUGAUUUGAUUUAAUAUAGUCAAACAUCUGGAUAUGUGACUAAAAUUUUCAGUUUCCAUAUGGAUAUUUGACUUUGUGUGAAUAAUAUCGACUUUAUGAAAAUGGAAACUCAAUUCUUGUCAAAAUAAAUAAUCAGGCUUAUCUAAUUUGAAAAAAGAAGUGAUUUUAAAAAUUUGGUUAACUAUGCCUUAAAGACAAUAAUAAGUAUUUGGGGCAUUCUUUCAUCCCUUUCCUGUUAUUUUAGAGUUAAAUAUAUCUUAGCAUAAUAUGCAAGUAUUUGCAAAGGGAAAAUAUAAGACAUAAUUAUAUUAUGCAUAAAAUGCAUUUUCAUUUGAUUUUUUAAGUUUUUCAUUAUUUUUUAACCAAUUCUCUAAAUCCUAACCAUUCACCUUUUUGUGGAUUAUGACCUUCUCCACUGUCAGACUCUCACCUAAAAACAAGACAAAUAUAACUGAAAUUUAAAAAUUUUUAAAUGUCACAAAAUAUCAAGUGAAUAAAGAAGACAAACAAGUCAAUACAUAUUUAUGUAUUUCUUGGUUGAUACUCUUAUAUUUCAUGGACAAAGAAAAAUAGUAACCCAGAAUUUAAUUUCAUUUCAGAGGUUGUGGAAUGCUCAGUGAAGUUUCAGGGGCCUGGAGUAUCACUAGGUUAAAGUAUCAAUGGAAAUUAAUUUUAAGAACACAACAGCAGGUCUUUAAACUAUUUAGCAGCAAGCAUACCAUCUCCUAUGGUAGAAAGAGGUAUAAUUAAAAAGCUAUCAAUAGUCUGGGAUUGUCAAAACUACUUUGUCACCUGAAGCACAUUUCUUAUAAUUAUCUUUUAGGCUUUAAGCUAGAUCACCAUUAACCUCUGAAGAAAAAGGGUUACUAUGCUUUCUGGUGUGAGAAAUUGUAUCAUCAUGUAAAUUAAGCCCCAUUCGACAGUCAAAUUAGAUUUGGGAAAUGAUUGAGUAUUAAGCCUACUCAUGUAUAUUAUCAAAUGACACAAAGUAUGAGGGCACCAAGGGAAGAAGCUUUCCUCUUUUUCAAAGAUUUUUUGAGAUUCCUUAUGUGCAUAGAAUAUGAUUUUAAGCAUACAUCAGAGACAUAAAAUUGAAGCAGUAGAAGGAAAACUCAAAGAUAUUUUUAGCCUUUCCCCAAAGAUUUCUUUUCAGCUCUCAGACAGUACAAAAUGAGUCAACACUUAAGUAAGCCAGAAAUAAUAUAACGAGUCUGCAAAAUUACAGCUACCUGCAGCUCAGAUCUUCAAUCAAGUAAUUGUUAAAGCCUCACUAGAAGGAGGAACGAAUAUGUUCUCAGGUGAACUCACUUAAUAAUUUUAACCUCAUUGUCAAAAGAAAGGAGUCAUAAUUAAGAUAGCACAAUACAUGAAGCAGAGAGCAGCACUACUGCACCCUCCUGAUGAUUAAUGUGUAUCCCUGAGGUGGUCUCUUUAGUUGUGGAUCAACGAAAACCAUGUAGCCUUCUCGCUCUGCAUAAGAAGUUGGUGCCUAAUGACAAAUAAUCAACUACUGUCAUUUCUAGCUAAUGUUGAGCUGACUACUGGUUGUGAAAAAUUAUGUCAGUUAAUGUAAGUGAUUUUCAUCUGUAGGUAGAAUACAGUCUACAACUACAUGUCUACCAUCAUACUAAUCUAACUAUGGGUAGUAAGAGGACUUGGGAGAGUAUUCUAUUGUGGUUAUUGCUUGCAAAGAAACACGUAGGCAGAGUUUCUCAACCUCAAAAUGAUGGACAUUUGGGACCAGACAUUUUUGUUCAUGUUGAGGGCUGUCCUGUGCAAUGUAGUAUGUUUUAGCAGAAUCUCUAGCCUCUAAUCGGUAGAUGCCAGUAGCAACCCCUCACCCUCAGUUGUGACAAAUACAGAUGUCCUCGGGCAUUGCCAAAAUGUCUACUAGGAGGCAAAGUUGCUCCCAGUUGAGAACGACUGGUGAAAGAGCUUUGGAAAUGCUCUACAGCCUAUAUGAUUGUGUCUAUAUCUACAUCUAUAUUUAUAUGAAGAGAUAUAUGUACAGACACAUCUAUACUCACGUUUAUCUAUACACAUCAUUAUAAGCAUACAUGUGUACAUGUAUAUAUAUCUAUAUAGGCUUGUAUAUAAUAUACAUACAUCUAUAUAUACAUAUAUGCAUGUAUAUACCAAUCCAGUUGUAUAACUAUAUAUCCAAUUACAUAUAAACUAUAAUGCAUUUAAAUAUACUAAUAUUUGUAAAUAGAAGUAAACAUGUAGACAAAGAGUAUAUGCAUGUGUAUGUAUUCAUAUGUGUUCGUAUAUAUACACAUGCAUAUAUACACAUAUGUGCGCACAGAUAUGUAUAGAUAUGCACCAUAAAACCAUGAAGUCUGAAAAUAUAGAUUAUAUUUUUAAAUGUUUUUACAGAUUGAAGAUGCCCUUGACAACAUUAGUUAUAUUUGCAUAUGCUUCCAGAUUUCAUUAUGGACACUCUUUUUAGAUGUGAAGUUUUACAGGAACGACAGAAAUGAGUGAGAGGAUCCUAUAGAACACAUGCAAAAAUCUGGAGGCUUGGCACCUUGCAGAGAAACUGUGAGCCUGCGUGUAGAAUUUCUUCAGCAGAAGAUCUUUCCUGCAAGUUGUUCUCUGAAAAGGAAGUUCUGUGGUGAACUUAUCCUAUCCAAGGAUAACACUACAUUGCUAUAAUUUCUUCUUCUUAGAGAUUUACAGCGCAUAUUAGCAUAUUAAAGACUCUUUAUUCUGAAGGAAAAAAUAUUGCCUUCGACACGGCAUAUUCCAAGCUUAUUUGAACACAGAACCAUCAAAUUUAUUUAUAUUUUGAAAUGAAUUUAUUUAUUUACUUUAGCUCUUUGUGUGGCCAAAUUCCUUCAACAAAAUUAAUUUUUCUUGGAACACAGGGAUAACUAUGAUAAUAAUAAUUAUAAUUGCUCCAGAUGGAUAUCUAGGUACUAGGUCCUUUAAAUAAAAUAACUCAAUCAGUCUUCACAGCAAUCUGAUAGCAUAGGAACAAUUAUUACUAUCUCUAUUUAUUAGGCAGGAAAAUGAGAUCUGGUGGGCUAAGUAACCAGCUAAAGUCCACAACCUAGUAAAUCAUGAUAUUGCAUCUCAAAUUUGAUAAUACUGAUAUGUUUAAAACAUAAACAAAUAGAAACCAAAAGUAUUAAUAACUUGCUGCCCAAGUUACUAUUGUUAUUUAGAGGCAGAACAGGGAUUAUCUACUUAUGCUCAAUGCCCUUUAGCUGGUCCAUUUGUAUUAUUUUUUUUCUGUUAUUUUUCUCCUAAAUUAGAUAAUACUUGCAUGAGUGUACACUUCCUUCCUUACACUUCCAUCUGGGUUCCAGGAGCACGGUGUAUGUAUAUUGACAAUUAUCAUGCAUUAGUCAUUUGAUAUAUUGCAUUAAACAGUUUAUAUUAACAGUUUGCAGAAUGCCUCUUGUGUGGCAAUUGUCCAGUAAAUCUUCGUAGAAUCACUUUGAUUCAUCCUGCCCCAUGGCCAAGGCCUACGGCCUUUCCAUGACAUGUUACAUGUCCAUACAGAGAAUAAUAAAACCUGUUUAUAGUUUUAUUGCCAUUAAUAUGCAUGGUAGCCUUUGAUAUGUUCUCUAAUCCUCUGAAUUGUUAAUAACUAAAAGAUGUUUAUCACUUGCUUUCAAAAGAAAGGUGUUGAAGAAUGUAAGGACUUGUGAAUUAAAAUCUGUAAGCAUGUUCACCUCCUCAUUAGAGAGUGCAACAAAGUACAAAGACAUGAUCAUUUCUCUAAGCAAGAAGAUGAAUUUAGACAGAGAGAUCACACUGUAUCCUGACAAAGAAUUUGUGAGAAGAACAUCUGUUCCCUGCUGCGCAUGGCAUCCCUCUUCUUUUGGUUCAGUCUGGGCUUUGGAUUGUGGACACAUUCUUUGCAAAGCUCAGGUUUGGCUAAAGUUAUGGCGAAGUGGAACUCCUUAUUAGCAUAGUUGACACUGGCUUUUAUAGGACAUUUGAUUUGGCUCAGGUAGUUAAGGGAGGUUUGAGAAAAUACCUGGCUGAAUGUUAUUUCACGUUGUGACACUUAUAAAUGGUGAUGCAAAUUUUAAAAACCUGACAGGCAUCAAUGAAUUGUGUGAUAUAUAUAUAAAUCUCAGGCACUAGAUAGACUUUAAAUUGAUGGUAUCACACCAAGCAGUGAUAUAAAAGCACUAGUAGCACUUAGCCUUAUAGGCUAAUAGCUGCAAAUGAUUUUAUGAAUCAUUAGUUUAGAGAUGUGGUCCUACCCAUUUUUAAAACCCAGUAUAAAUUAACAUAUUUUGCCUGUGACAAGAUGUUAAUGAUUUUAGAGAAAAGAGGCCAUCUGAUGAGGUAAAACUCUCCCAAUUUUAUGCCACUGGACUUUUUAUAUUGCAAUUAAUAUGAUUAUGACUAAUUAGAAUUCUUGACUGGUAAAGAAUGAAGACUGAUAGUUUAACAGAUCAAUACCCAUUAUUUAAUGUCCCGAGUUAGACUGGUUUUUGAAGCAUGACACAGGCAAUAUGUAAUUAAAAUUUAAAACAUUUUUAAGGUGGUUCUUAUUUGUGAUAUUUAACCAAAGCAUAAGAACUGAGAAAUUGAGAAAAACUGAGACCAUCCUUUUGGCUGACGUUAAGUAGUUAUUUUCCUUUUUUAGUUCAAUUAAUGUUCCCUUCCUUUUGGUAGACACAGUUGGGUAAGUGUUCAAAGUGUUUUGUGGUGAUUUUAUGGUAGAAUUCCCAUUAAAAUAAACAUGAGCUACAUGGGUAAAUUAGAGCAUGCUGCUUUGAAAAGGUACCCCACUAUUUUCAGCAUAUUAAGCUGUCAGAAGCUGAUAAAAUCAGGCUUACAUCCCUAAUUGGAGAGUAUGUUUAGAAUGCAUUUAUAUCCUUUUCAUCAAACUUGGUAUGAAAUUAAAAUGGUAGUAUCACCUGAUUAUGAACAGGUGUCUAUAGGACAUGAAACCAAUGUACAUUCUAGAAAUAUUCCUGAAAUAUCCUUGAAAACUUCAAAAUUUCAUACAUCUAUACUGGUGAGUUGGUAUUAAUAUGUGCCCAGUGGACUUUGUUAUAUUUCAAGAGAAAGAGUCUGAACUUAUUUCACCAUUUCUGUUUCUGAUACUGUGUAUGACAGCUUAUCCUUACCUUUCUUUGAAUUUCCAAGGCUGUUUUUGCAAUCAGUCCAUAGAGUAGCAUGCCCACUAAUCAAUUAACAAAUAAUUACUAAGCAGGUACUGUGAAGCAAAGCAAUGUGCUGGCCUUCUUCCCUAUACUUUAUGGGACUCUCUAUUUGACACUCCGAUGAUCAGUAAAUAUUUACUACUUUGCAUUUUUCUUUUAAAUUAAAGACGAGAAUUACUAAUAAGCAGGCAAUAGCCCUAAUGCACAAUGAGAUGUAGAUUUGUGUUUAAGCCUGUGUACUACCAGAGACAGUAGAUAUAGUUAAAACCAUGGCCUCUGGAGCUACAUGAAAUUUAGCUCCAAUUCUAAUUUUCUUACUGAAUAUUUGUGUGAUCUGGGCUUUUUACUUAGCCUUUCGCUGCCUCGGUUUUCUCAACGUAAAAUAAGAAUAAUAAUAGAAUUACUGAAAAGUGUUCUUCUGACGAUCAAAUGAAUUCAUGUAAAGUGCAGAGAUUAAAACUAUUUCUGGCAAAAAGUAAACACUAUGAUUGUGUUCAGGUGUUGUUAUUGACAUUUUCACAGAGCUGGGUUGGGACAUAGACCCUGAUUUUAAUUCUUUUCUCCCAAUUUUUUUAACUUUGUGAUAUUGGGUACAUGACAUUAAUGCAUCAAGUCUGAUCCAUAUCCUUCUCUUAGUCUUACUGUGUUGAUUUUAUCAUUCUUAUGAUUUUCUUAAAGUUCAUUGAAAUUUGCAAAAUGCAUUCUUCUAAAUGUUAAUAAUAAUCACUGGCUCCCUGUUGUUGUGACGGAUAAAUGUAAUUUUAUGUGCAUCAUUAAGGACUACGUUGGCCCCGUGUGUCUUAAUUAUACAAGACUAGAGGAUAGGAUUUCCCCAAGCCACUGUAGUAGGCACCCUGUAUCAAGGCCUGCAGUGUAAAGGUGAUAAAGGUGGUAACCACACUGUGAAAGGGAGGAACUGCACUCCAUGGCAAGUCAGUAGGGCUAGCGGUCAGCAGGGGUCAGUACUGUCUUCAGCUGAGCAAUGCAACCACGCAUUUCACCUUCAUUACACCAAUGUCCUCUUCGUGGAACCAUGUUAUUGUAACAAUCUGGAUCCUUAAGUCCUUAACUUAAUCCAUAGCCUUAAAUUCACGGUCUUAAGUCCUUAAGGUACAUAUAUUUAUGUGCUUAUUAUCAUGUCUUUAUAUUUAUAAUCCUUAAAUGCUCUAUAGGGUAGUAAAUAUUGAUGACUGCAUAUUUCAUCUAUAUUUACUAUUCUAUCCUAUAUGCAGACACACACACAUAUACAUGCAUAUAGAUAUAAAAUUCCCAAACUUUGGGAAUUCCUGUAACCUUAUUCUAGAAUUUCACAGAGGCAUAGAACAGACACAAGAUGACUUUGUGAGCUGCUGAAUUAUGCAAAGUUUGCAUAGUUGACCUUAAACGGUAGGUAAUUUUAAGUGAAAUUUGAAAAAAAAUAAAAUGUUACAAUUGAUAAAAAUAGAAUGUGUGUGCAAGGCAUAAAAUUAGUUUUCAUAUGAUUUCUAAUGAUACUCUACAUUAAAUGAGGAGUUUCUUGCUUCAAUUUAAUGGAGGAAAUAUCUAUUCAUAUUCUACGUAAGUCUUCUCAUCACAUAGUUUAAAGAUAAAACAAGUAUUAAAUGAAAUUAAAUAAAAAGAUAUGACAAACUAUUAGCAAACUCUUGUAAUUUUUUAUGACUUUAUCUUUAAAGACAUUUUAAAAUCUCUAUUUCUUUAACAAAAUCCACUAAAUCUAAGUAAGCCACUGUGGUCUUUUGUAAUAUUUAAAACAUCUUUAAACUUUUGUGGACUUAUUUAACCUAUAUUAGUCCUAAUAUGGGAGAAAUAAUGCAUUACUUAAUUACAUAAAUUAUUAUAAAGUAUUUAGAAAAACAAUUCCUAUAAACAAUUCCUUAUAUUCUUUAAAGAAAUAACAUUUUGCUUUUUUAGGAUUCUAAAUUAACUGGAAACUUUAUUUAUGAUAAUUUCAGAAAUAUAUAAUGUAACAUAGUAGAUUCAAAUACUAUUGGAAGUGCAAUAUCACCAGAGCACAGGACUCUAACCCAAAUUUUGUCUGGUAAUUGCAUCUAGUCUUCACUGAUGUUUUAAGUUCAGUUUGAUUCAGCAAGUACUCACAUAGUGAGCAUCAGAUUUCUAAGGCCACUUGGUUCUGUAGCCCCAGUCUGGCCACCCAGGCACUGACACAUCUGCAGAGUGACUCUCUGGUCAUUAUGAUCUCCAAAUUCUACAAAUGGUAAACUCUAAGAAUCCUACACAAUUUGAUACAUUGAAUAAAUGUUUACUGCUCUCUUCAAGAGAAGAAAUUGUUUAUAAGUCAAGAUAGCAAGGAGCUGAAGAGUUGGAUCCACUGUGAUUUACCUUUGUUUCUCCAAACAAUUGAUUAAAUGGUAAUUUUUUUUUCAAAUGCAUAUAUCAAAGCCCUAAAGGAAUUCGCUAUUUGAAGGAAUACUUGGAGUGAACUGUUUGUCUUAUUUUUUGUCACUGGUUUGUAGGGGGGAAUAAAAGAAAAUUUUAAUAUGGGAAAUAUUUUCAAAUUUUGAAUAAAAAUAUAUUACACAUGGUUCAGCUGAAAAUUGAGGACAGUCAUGUCAUAGCCCUUCUUUGUCUUUGUGAGCCAGACAACCCAAAAUCAUAUCCUGUCUACAUGGGGAAAAUCCUAGUGAAAAUAAGUGCUAGCAACUGCUAUAGUUUAUGGAGCAGUUAUUAUGUCCUAGUUGGUUUUCCUGUAUUAUCUCAUUAAACCUCACUACUACCUUGCAAGGUAAAAACUAUUCACUUUCUUUACUGAUGUGGAAACUGUGUUUCAGAGAGGUUAAAUGAGGUUAGGAGAAGUCUAAGGAGACAGUUUGCAGUUGAAUUAUUACAAAAACUAAGAGUCAGUAUUGAUUCCUUCGUUCACACCUGUAUCAUUAAACUACUUUUGGGUCUUAGAUAUUGGAGAUAGGAAAUAAAGCUAUUUUAAAGUAACACUCAUUUAUAACUUCUUACUUAGUCUAAGAUCAUUAGUAUCCUUUUUCUUUCCUCUUUUCCACAAAAUGGAAGCUUUUUUAAAACCACUCUUUAUGUAUUUUUGUGGAUUUCCCCAACAGAAAAUUGUAAUGUUUCCUUUUAAUUUCACUUAAUUAUCUUUUACAGAAUAUAAGCCUUAUAAAUUCCAAGGUUUUAUGUUUAUAUUUCUCAAAAAUUCCCACCAAUAAAAGCUAAAAUCCCAUAGGAUAUCAUUUCCUCUCUUAUAAAAUGAAGCUACUACUUCUUACCUGAUAGGCUUUUUAUGACAAGUAAAUGAAACGAUGGGAGCAUUUAUAUGUAUUAUUACCUUUACUGACUAGUGUAGGCAGAAUAAUGGCCUCCAAAAAAUGUCCAUGCUCUAAUCCCUAGAGCUUGUAUGUCAGUUAAAAGGCAAAGGGGAAUUAAAAUUGUAAGUGGAAUUAAGUUUGCCAAUCAGCUGACCUUAAAAUAGGGAGAUUAUCCUAGUGCCCAGGUGGAUCCAGUGUAAUCACAGGAGCCCCUUAGAAGAGGGAGGCAAAAAGGCCAGAGUUAAGGGGAAGUGUCAUUAAGAAAGAGGUCAGAUGAUAGUAAGUGACAAGGGCUCACUCAGCCAUUCCUGGCUUUGGAGAGGGAGAGUGGAGGACCAUAAGCAAAAGAAAGUUGGCAGUCAGUGGAAUUGGUAAAGGCAAGGAAACUGAUUUUAUCCUAGGGUCUCCAGAAGGAGCUAGCCCUGCAGAUACCUUGAUUUGGGCCAAGGGAGACCCAUGUCAUAUUUCUCACCUACCUGUAAUGUAAGAAAAUUAAUUUGUGUUGUGUUAAGGCACUGAGUUUAUGGCAAUUUUUAUAGCAGCAAUAGAAAACUAAUAUGCUACCUUUAUUAUAUAAAUUAUCAUCCUCAUUAUGCUUCUCCCAGUUAUAAAUUUCUGAGGAUUUUCAAACCUAUGGAUUCCUAGAGAUUUGAGGUUUUGUACCAACUUUGUCACUAAUUGGCUAUGUGACACUGGCCUGUGUGACUGUCCCUCAGUGCUGUGUAUGUUCAAUGAUGCCCUUUCAGCUUUCAGAACACUGAGAGACAGAAGCACGGAACAGGCAGCUGAAUGAUGUUAGGAAAGCAUGGUCUCCAUCAUGACGUGCCUGGGGCUUGAUUCUUUAAGUUCUAGGAAUGAGAGGGUAAAGGUAAGAAGAUCCAAAAUGUAAGUGGACAGCACUACAAAAGGAAUAGAUAAAAGUGAUGUUAUUUUGAUGUAUGGACAAUUAAUUGUACUAGCUCGUAAAGUCCUGCUAUAAGGUAAUAGAGGGGAGUGUCAAGCUUUCCUUGAUGAUAUCCUUAGAUUUAGGUCCUAUUAAAAAUAUUCUCUUCCCAGUUUUCUUUUCUUCAGUCUCUGAAACUCUCUAUUCCCCUCCAACAAACAGUAGAUAGAUACACAAACAUGUACACAUACACAACACCACAAAAAGAUACACACACAUAUACACACUGUAUAAAUACACAUAUAUUUAAUAUCAGAUCUAGAAGUAAUGCGUGAAAAUAUUUUGGAUGAUUCUCUAAGUUCGUAAGCUCCUACUCAUAGUCUACAAAGUGCAAGAGACUUUUGUAAAUUUCCAGUAGAAGCCAUUGUUGUGUUCAUAAAGGCAAAGGAUUUAUUUCUCUCAAUUAUGGAAUAAUUUUUAUUAUGAGAUGAAUCAUUCAGAAGGUACCUCAGGCCAUUCACAAAAUUAGCCUGUUGUUGCUAGCUGGCCAAUAUUACAUUAACAUCUCAACUACCUGGAGGCUUCUUAGCAAACAACCACAACUCUCUGAAAAAUAGAGGAAAACAGGGAAUGGACAAAAAUGAUCUCUGAACAGGUACUCUCAAUCAUAUUGCUCAGGAGGGAAAUUCUCACUGGCUGCCACUUGGUUUCAAUUAGAUUUCCUUCCUGUAAAAUACAAAUAAAAAAAUUUUGCUUAUCUUGGAUCUUAACAUAUAACAAAUCGACUUUAAAAAUUAGGAGCAAUAAGAAUAUUACAAAAUGGGUAUACACUGACAAGUACAUGAAGUUAUUGCUGAGAAGACAGAAGAUUAAAACAAAUAAAAAGAAGAAUAUAGACCUCAAAAUUGUAGGAGUGUGGAAUCAUUAGCAUUGGGACAAGUAUCAUUCUGCAGCUCAAAAGUCAUUGAAGGCGGUGAUCCCAGUGUAAAAAUUGAUGUUCUAAAGUUAACCUUGAGUCAUCAAGAAAAAGUUAAAUUAUAUUGGGUUGCCUUUGUUACAGAAGGCAAGAAAAUAUAAACUGAUUUUAGCAAGACCUUCACCUAUGAAGCUGACAUUUAGUGUGUAACUUUAUAAUGGUCAAAUCACUGCCAAAGGCACUUUGUGGACUUCAUCUCAAUGAAUCAAUGGUUAGAAUAAAAUAGAAUUAUAAAAUGAAAUAAAUCAUUCUGGGUCCUGUCCAUUGGCUAUAAGUUCCUUAGUCACUCUGAAGCUGGAAAAUAUAUUUCCCAGACUCCUCUUCCAAUUUUCCUGAUGGGCAUUACACAUGGAAGCCAAUUGUAGAGAGUGGAAGUUGGAAGAAAGAAGAAAACUGUUUUGUUUUGUUUUAUUUUUUUCCUGUUCUUGGUGGAGUCCUUAGCAGCCCCAGAUGAUGAAGAGCAAUGGAUGUUUGUAGGCAUCAGUCAGUUCCCAGGUGGAUUGAGCAUCUUCAGAGGGAAUGCAGACUCCUGGAUUCUUCAGAGGCCACCAUUGUUCCUAAUAGUCCUGAGACAGUAGAUUUAAAAGGUAGAUUUAAUUUGCCUGGAAAAUUCAGCCAUCCAGCAAUGCUAGCCAAGAAAAACAUACUGUUUGGUCUCCGUGUUAGUACUUGCUGAGGUUACAGUGAUUUAGAAUACUGUCAGCAAAAAUUCUGCUUAGCAAUUAAAACCACUUUGAUAAUUUUCUGAGAGCUGUGAUGCCCUGUGCAGAGACUCCAGUUGUUUCAUAGUGUGGCCUGGAGGAAAAAGAAGAGAAAGUGGGCAUAGCUAAAAUAUCAUGCCAGGAUCCUCUGGCACCAUGAGCAGGUGACAGAGUGGAUUAAUAGCUUCAACCCAAUUAAGUCAACAUUCCACAGUCAACAUUCAUUCAGCAAGUCUAGCAGCAGGAAGGUUUUCAAUGAGCAAGGUCCAUGACCAAACGCUUCAAGUGCAUGUAGGGUACACCACAGAUGUUUCAUAAUCAUCAUGCUUCUUUCCUUUCUUUAUGUAUUUUUUUCUUUAACACAUUCAGGCACUAAAUCACAGAAAUACUAAGUAAAAUUUCACUUAAGAAGCUACUGUACUCAUUUUUCCUAAAUAGAGCUUUUUUUUUCAGGGGUAAAAAAGGCCUUUGGGAAAGACAACCUUUUCUUAUUAAUGGGGGCAAGGUGAGGCAUAAUACAUUGAAUUCAUGCUUGUAUAAUUGUUUCCUCUUCACUGAGUUCUCAUCUCUCCCAUCAGCUCAGUCCCUAGUUCCCAUUCAAAAUAUUCCCUUGAAAUCAUCGAUUCUGAGGCUGACUUUAUUAAAAUAAAUGCAUAGAUAUACUGUCAAACCUCCACAUCUUUGGUUUCUACAGCCAUGGAUUCAACCAACUGCAGAGUGAAAAUUAUGAAAAAAAAAUUGAAAAUAAAUACAAAUUAAAAAAAUUAU